GAUCAUAUAUACUUGCAUAAUAUCAUCCCUUCCCUUGAUUUCUUUCAAUCUAAAAAUAAAUAUGAGAAAAACA
rnacentral:ncRNA from 3 species